GGGCGGAUACCAAAGCGGUCAAAUGGACCAGACUGUAAAUCUGGCGGCUCAGCCUUCGCAGGUUCGAAUCCUGCUCCGCCCACCA
rnacentral:tRNA from 1 species